AUCUUCCGCAAUGGACGAAAGUCUGACGGAGCAACGCCGCGUGAGUGAUGAAGGCAUUCGGGUCGUAAAAUUCUGUUGUUAGGGAAGAGCAAGUGCUAGUUGAAUAAGCUGGCGCCUUGACGGUACCUAACCAGAAAGCAACGGCUAACUACGUGCCAGCAGCCGCGGGAAUACGCAGGUGGCAAGCGUUAUCCGGAAUUAUUGGGCGUAAAGCGCGCGCAGGUGGUUUCUUAAGUCUGAUGUGAAAGCCCACGGCUCAACCGUGGAGGGUCAUUGGAAACUGGGAGACUUGAGUGCAGAAGAGGAAAGUGGAAUUCCAUGUGUAGCGGUGAAAUGCGUAGAGAUAUGGAGGAACACCAGUGGCGAAGGCGACUUUCUGGUCUGUAACUGACACUGAGGCGCGAAAGCGUGGGGAGCAAACAGGA
rnacentral:rRNA from 1 species